UUCCGGUUGAUCCUGCCGGACCUGACUGCUUUCGGAUUAAUACUAGGCCCUGUGAGUUUUUGUAGUAAUACAAGGCAUACGGCUCACUAACACGUAGUCAACCUACCCUAUGGACGAGGAUAAUCUCGGGAAACUGAGCAUAAUACUCGAUAGACCAUAGUGCCUGGAAUGGUUUAUGGUUAAAAUGAUUCUUUCGCCAUAUGAUGGGACUGCUUUCUAUCAUCUUGUUGGUGAGGUAAUGGCCCACCAAGGCGAUUACCGGUACGGGCUCUGAGAGGAGAGGCCCGGACAUGGGUACUGAGACACGGACCCAGGCCCUAUGGGGCGCAGCAGGCGAGAAAACUUUGCAAUGUGCGAAAGCACGACAAGGUUAUUCCGAGUGAUUUCUGCUAAACAGAUCUUUUGCCUGUUCUAAAACCACUCCUGAAUAAGGGGUGGGCAAGUUCUGGUGUCAGCCGCCGCGGUAAAACCAGCACCUCGAGUGGUAGGAGGAUUAUUGGGCCUAAAGCAUCCGUAUCCGGCUCUGUAAGUUUUCGGUUAAAUCCAUGUGCUCAACUCAUGGGCUGCCGAAAAUACUGCAGAGCUAUGGAGUGGGAGAGGUAGACGGUACUCGGUAGGAAGGGGUAAAAUCCUUUGAUCUAUCGAUGACCACCUGUGGCGAAGGCGGUCUACCACAUCACGUUCGACGGUGAGGGAUGAGAGCUGGGCGAGCAAACCGGAUUACAUACCCGGGUAGUCCCAGCUGUAAACGAUGCAGACUCGAUGAUGCAUUGGAAUAUAGCCAGUGCAGUGUCACCCGGGAAGCCGUUAAGUCUGCCACCUGUGAAGUACGUACCCAAUUAUGAAACUUAAAGGAAUUGCUCGGGGGAGCACAACAAUGGGUCGAAGCCUGCUGAUUCAACUGCAGUCAACGCCGA
rnacentral:rRNA from 1 species